UACGUAGGGUGCAAGCGUUAAUCGGAAUUACUGGGCGUAAAGCGUGCGCAGGCGGUUUUGUAAGUCUGUCGUGAAAUCCCCGGGCUCAACCUGGGAAUGGCGAUGGAUACUGGCUCGCUAGAGUGUGAUAGAGGAUGGUGGAAUUCCCGGUGUAGCGGUGAAAUGCGUAGAGAUCGGGAGGAACAUCAGUGGCGAAGGCGGCCAUCUGGAUCAACACUGACGCUGAGGCACGAAAGCGUGGGGAGCAAACAGG
rnacentral:rRNA from 1 species